CUGGGUUAUAGCCUAUCCAGGGUUGAGUUUUUCAUUUAUCUCCUUUUAAGGCAUCCCCUUGAGAAGGUCCUGCUCUAAGACACUCUGGCCUUAAUCUCCAAGGCUGCAGAGUGUCAACAUUACAAGGUCGGCAAUCCACAACUCCCGCAAAGUUACAGGUUUCCCAAUUGUUGCUCAACCCUCAUCACGUAGGCCUAGCAACAUUCUGUUACCCAGUCCCUCAAAGCAACAGGCUGCCUAGCAAUUUCUGGAAUGACAACAUAACAUCCCAUAUCACACUUGCAGGCUCUUCCUGUGAGCAUAAAGCUGGCUACCUCAUGAGAAUCACCUUAUGCUGCACUUCCCAGAGAGUUCCUUAGGACACCAGAACUGAAGUCAACGGGAAUUUUGGAGGUGUGAAGAGCUACUCAGAAGAAGCAAGGAUUUUCCAGAGAGGGACCCAAAACAGCACAGUACUCAAGGUGUAAUCUCAUCAGUGCCAAGUGCGGAAGGACAAUCCCUUCCCUAAUCCUGUUUGCCACAGUAUUUCUGAUGAACAUCUUUGGAAUCUCUUCCCACCCAUUCAAAUGCUAGUUAACAGAGAGAGAAUGCAAAAUUUAGUUUUUCUCCUGUAUGGUAACUGUUGAGUCACGACCUGAACCACUGAUUGAGCACCUGGGGAAAGGACCUGGUCAGCCCUGAGAGCACAGGUGAAGGCAAAGGCAAAGGAGUGGAGCUUGGCUGCUCUUCUCUUAGACCUCAUUUAACAGCUGACUGCCACUAAGGAAGGAUCUCUUUCUGGAGGUUCCUCCUUUGCGUUUUCUCCUGGGAACCUGGAUCUUUGGAGAUGGUUAUAGGCUUCCUGGUACACAAAAACCAAGGAUAUCCUGGGAAGAGUCCAGCAGAGGGCCACGAAGAUGAUAAAGGGCCUGGAGCAUCUCCCUUUGAGGAAAGGCUGAGCAAACUGGGCUGUUCAGCCUUGUGAUAAGAAGACUGAGAGGUGCCCCUUCCAUAAGAAGAUAUGAGCAAGAGGCUUGCAGGACAAUAACAACUACCAAAAUGGAAAUCUAUAAGCUACAUCAUAGCUGAAUUGUGCAACACGAAUCCAGUCUUGCAUAUUAUGGAGGAGAUAAAUGAGGGAAGUAGGAGGAAAGAAUCUAUCAUUGUCCUACAUGCAUCAUAAUUUUUUCAGCAGAACUAUUUUACUUCAUAAAAUGGUGCUUCUUCAGGUAAAAAAACAAACAAACAAACAUUUGUGGAAAUACACCAGUCUACAACAAGAAAUCUGCCAGGAUCCCCAGGAAGAAAAGAGCGUUUAGAGAGAUGAAUUUCAGAGGAGGAGAAUUAACAUCCCAGGAGUGAUGGUUUAUGUAUUGAAAUGCUUAGUGCUACACUGUGUACCAGCUGCAAGUGGCCUAAUGCCAGCCCUGGAUGUAGAGCAGCUUCAAGUGUGGCAUUUGCACUACUGGCUCAGGCACCUAUGCUUUCCAUGUACUGAACACAGAGAGCUGGGGAUGCUGAAGAGUUGGGAAAGUGCAUAAUUCAAGCCUCCAAAGAUACUGGGUGAAGCAUGUUCCUGAAGGAAUACAUUUCUACAAGACAUUUAUCUAGCUGAACUGUUUUGGAUUUCUUCCCCUAAUGUUAAAAUGCUCAAAAUGCUAUUUUGCCUAACCAAUUGCACCUCCAUGAGGAUUCAAGAAGAGUACAUGUACCUGCCUUGCUUGUGUUAGAUAAAAUCUAACACAAAAUCAAUUCCAGAUGACUAGUCAGAUCUUCACCAAAAUAAAAUUACAUCUACCAUGCCAAAGCUAAGUGAGGAAAGAGUGAGGUAGGUAAAAACCAACCAACCAACCACAAAAAAAAAUGAGAUACAUAAGAUCUCAGUAGUGUAAGGACUAUUCAUUUAAAUCUCUGCUCCAGUUGGUGGGAAGCUACGCUCCUGAGGAAGGUGAGAAGUUAAUGUUCCUGCAUGCUCAUGUAUGUCCCCUUGGGUUCCUUCAGCCCACUCCCCCAAGCUGCUGUUUCUCCCUCACACCUGAUGCAUGGUAAGGAGGAGGUAAUGCACAUAGGAAGGGUUUGGUGAACAGUGGCUAGUGCCUGUGUCACGGGGCAAAUACACUCCUCAGUCCUCCCCUGUCCACUCCAAUUAUUGGAGCAAUUGUUUUCACAUAUAUAAACCUGGAGGAAGACUUAGGCAGCAAAAGAGGCCAAAUGUUGUCCAAUUGAUUUAUUACAAGUUCUAAGCAGCUAAGGAACGCAGGGAAGAUGGGGAAGUUAGAGAUAGUAAAGAGAGAAAUCCUAGCAAAUGGUUUACAAAGCAGGGAUAGUCACCACCAGAGAUCCAGUGAAGUCUCAGUCUGUUGACCCACACAGCUGCAGUCUGUUAGAGGGUGUACUUGCUCUACUUCAGAACUUUUCUGUUUUUUAUCCUUUUCAUAGUGUCACUUUGGUUGCCAGGGGCACUUCUUUUUUUCUUUUUAGUUUACCACAGCUUGCUUUAGAUGUCAGGAAGCACUUAUGUUUUGUUUGUCAGAGGAAACAGCACAUGCCCCUCCCAAUUACCUUCCAGGGUAAUUGGUAGUUGAUCUGUCACAUGGGGGGCUGCUAGGUAAGUACAUUGACUGUAUGGUGAUCCUCUCCUCUGAGAUGACUUCCUUUAGCCGGCUUGAAUGCCCCAAAGGAGCAACAGCCAAAAAUGGUUUCCUCUGAUUGCCCAGUCGCAUAUGUUUCUCUUACUGCUGAGCUCACAAUAAUCAUUAACCCCAAAAGCUUGUUGAGCAGGUUAUGCCUUGGAUGGGUGCUGCUGAAUAAGCUUUGAGCCAAAAAUUGUUCCAGCUUCUCACAUCCCCACAGUUAGUUUGCCCACAGCACAGGACAACUGUUGUUCUCCUAUUCAUGCACCCAAACUUCUCUAGACAGCUAACAGAGUGGCCCAUGUCUUAUGCUAGACUAGAGUUAGAUGGUGGCUGAGGGCACUUUUCAAGGAACCAAGACAGCAGCAUGCCGAAUACCUGCCUGGCCAGACAGUCACAACCACUCAUAACGUCUGUUCAAAUGUGAACAGGAAAUUCUUGCUCUGAAGCUGGCUUUAUGAAUUGGACCCCAUGCUCUGAAGUGUGGAGGAAGGUGAAUGCAUUAGGAAUUUGUGGCCACUUCUGUCUGCAGUUUCUAUAUCAGUAGGUUGGCAUUACUAAUACAGUGGCUUUACUGGUAUAUAGACUUCCAGUCACAUUUACAAAAUGCAUAAGAGGCGCAAUUAAAUCCUUGCAUUCUUGAAACACUUCUGAUCUUUUUCAUGUAGCCUCUCUCUCUCCUGACUUCAAUAAAAAAAAAAAGUGGGAGUAAAAAAAAAAUAGAACAACAAGGUCUGGAGAAUCUCAUAAGUAUACAGAGUAUCAUUAGUAGGUGGUGAUAUAAAAAAAUACAAGAAAUGUUCCUCUCCGUUACUGUAUAUAGAUAUGCCUGGUUGGUCAAAGCCUGCUACUACAAACACCCAGAAUAUAAUUGCAUAUGAUGUUGCUGAACAUCAUUAACCUGAUUGUUCCAGUAAUCUGAUUAGUAACUGCCUUCGAACUCUGUUUUCAUGAAAUUUUUCUUACCAUCUCAAGAAUUAAUUUAUCCAUUGCUGGCUCUUGCAAUCACUUGCUUAUCCCAGCUAAGGCCCAGCUGUGUUGUCUGAGCUCCUUGAGCUCUUCUCUGUAUGUCAGUCAUAUGUUACUCUGCAUUGUGAGCUGUCAUUCAUUUUAAACACAGCCAUGUGGAUGGCUUGGGUCAUGUUCUCCUCUCCUCCCCUACCAGGCUCCUGGGAAAUUUCCACAUUCCAUUUGUAAUUUUCAGGAAUCACUGUCCUGUUUCUCUCUUUCACCUUAUUAGAUAGGAGAACUUACAACAAUGUCCCAUCUUAAGAAAGAUGUGUAAACUCAGCUCACCAAGUAAUGUCACCAGUAUCUCAGGCAAGUAUCAGAACUACUCUAUUAAAAAACAAUAUCAGCCUGUGAAAUCUUCAUCUACCAGUUCAAAUAAAUGGAAACCUUAACUUUUUUCCCAUUACUUUAAGAAUAUCCAGAAGAAUAUAGACUGCCUGCAAAAACAUCUUUUGCAAUGAGGUAUUGAUUUUGAGGAAGUUUUUGCAAUAGAAAGGUUUAUGAGAUCCAGAGCACUCCAGUCACUCCUGAUGGCAGAAAGGAAAAGAAGUCUGAAAUGAAAACCUGGUAUUAUUGAUCUAAAAUUGAUGGUUUUGAUAGAGUGCCAUUUUUGAAACCAAGAAGAUAUGGGAUUUAUUCCAGUGUGAAAUACAAACCAAUUUCAAAACCUUAAGAGCUCAUAAGACUGCCAGACUGCAUGGUGCUAAUGAGUAACGCAUCAGGAGGGAUUUGCAGAGCUACAAAGAUUAGACAGUUCUUACUCUUUUUUUUUUUUUUUUUUUUUUGGUCAUAGAAUUCAUUAUCUGAAUAGGGGAAUCUCUGAAUGGCUAGAAGAUGUCAUCUCCAUUACAGCAUUUGCAGAAAGUGGCUAAUGAUGUAUGCUUCUUCUCAGGACAGUGGCAUCCUGAAGGGCAUGGAAAAACAUUCCACCUACAAAAAGCAUCCUGAUAUUCAAGGCUGGCUCUGAGGCUAAAACCACUGCUCUCCAAGAGAAUGGACUGCAGGGGCAGCAGAGGCUCUCCCAUUUCUGAACCUUGCAAUACUGGGCUGUAUAAUGCUGCUAUCCCUAUAUGAGUGAAGGGGCAUGCAAGAAAGAUUAUUCUUGGAGGAUGGCUAAGACACUAGAUGAGAACACAUCUUUCCAGCAGCAGCUGCAAUUGCUGUACCCAUCAUCUUGCAGGUGUUUGGAAAAAAAAAGUCACUGAGCUGAAAUUCUCAGGGGUCUGCUGCUCCCUCAAGCUCUCCCAACUUUUCCUGUUCUGGGAGCAGGCAAGAACGUUCAAAACACAGGCAACUUUGAUAUAUAUACAUAUUUUUAUAUAGAUAUGUAUAUAUACACACACUACAUAUAAAGAUAUAGAAUGAACCAGUCCUUUGUCAUUAGAGACAAAGAUACAGUGUUUGGUGUUUUGACCUCAACUGACAGAUAAGCCCUGCACCUAGUCAUUGGGACUCAUCAUGUCCCAAGCAGGUUGGGACAGAAUCUCAAAAGCCAAAGGGAGAAAGUGCUAAUGUGCUGAGAUUGAAACAGUUUGGCUGCAGCAACCAAACCCUGGUACAGUUCAUGACCUUGUGUGACAUGGGCCCAGAAAAAAAGUGAAGUUCAGACACUAAAUUUUAGAAGAGCUAAUUUUCAGUUAUUAGAAGAAUUAACAGAGGACGCCUCCUGGAAAACUGUCCUUAGGGAUAAAGGAAUAGAUCAGAGCCCUCAAUUCCCCCAUGUAAGAAAUUAGGAAGGGAAGGCAAGAAACCAGCAUGGCUAAUUAAGAACCUGCUGGUCAAGGCAUGUUGUAAGAAGGAAAUGCAUAGGCAGUGGAAGCAGGGACACGUGGUCUAGAAAGAGUAAAUGGAUGCCACUCAGAUGUGCAUGGAUGAAAUCAGGAGAGCCAAGGCAAAGUUCUCCAUCAUAUUUGAAAGUUCAUGACUGUCAGGUGAAGUGACUGGAAAAAUGGAAAUAUUACUCCCAUUUUUAAGAAAGUUAGAAACAAAGACUCAUGGAACUAGCAACCACUGAGUCUCACUUCUGCGUCCAGGAAAUUCAUGGAGCAGAUCCUCCUGGAAGAGAUGUUAAGGCACAUACAAGAUAGGGAAAUUAGUCAACAAGGCUUCACUCAAAGGCAAAGAUGGAAACAGACAUUUUGGUAGGGCCUGUACUGAUAGGAUGAGGGCAGAUUUAUAUUAAAUAUAAGGAAGAAAUUUUGCAUAACAAGGAUGGUGAGGCACUGAAACUGGACAAGAGGUAGAAACUGCAUUCCUGGAAGAAUUCAAGGUCAGGCUGGAUGGGCUGGGGGCAAACUUUUGUAAUGAAAGGUGUCCCUGACUAUUUCAGUGGGAACGGAAUCAGAUGACUUUUAAGUCCCUUCUACCCUAAAAGCAUUCUAUGAAUUUAAGGUUUCAUCAUAAUACAUUGUAUGAAAUAAAAACAAUUUUCCUUUGGUCUUUUCCAUGCUCUUUCUUUUGCUUUGAUGUACUUCCUUCUGUUUUAAUAUUUCUUGUCCUAUCAAGAGUAUAAAAACGUGCAAGAUUUACUUUUAAUUUUUAAUAUGGUUAUUCUUUUAAUGAUUAUCUGCCUUAGUUCUUUUGCAAAUAAAUAUUUUCUUUUCUCCUUUGUUUGCUUUUGUUUCCUCUCUGUUGUUCUAUUUGUACUUUUAAACAAAAAUUAAACUUUUUCUGUUUAUGCAUUUACCUUGCUCUAUACUUUCAGUCUUUUUUUUUCCCCUGCAUUUAUACUAGCAGCACUAAUUUUCAUUUAGCCUCAGAUCCAAUAAGAGCUUUUAGAAUUCCCCCCCCCCCCCCCC
ensembl:lncRNA